rfam:Felis catus isolate Cinnamon breed Abyssinian chromosome E1, whole genome shotgun sequence.
GCCUGGCUGGCUCAGUCAGCAAAGCAUGGGACUCUUGAUCUCAGGGUUGUGAGUUUGACACUCACCUUGGGUG